rnacentral:rRNA from 1 species
AUUGAACGCUGGCGGAAUGCUUUACACAUGCAAGUCGAACGGCAGCACGGACUUCGGUCUGGUGGCGAGUGGCGAACGGGUGAGUAAUGUGUCGGAACGUGCCCAGUCGUGGGGGAUAACGUAGUGAAAAUUACGCUAAUACCGCAUACGAUCUAUGGAUGAAAGCGGGGGAUCGCAAGACCUCGCGCGAUUGGAGCGGCCGAUAUCAGAUUAGGUAGUUGGGGGGGUAAAGGCCCACCAAGCCAACGAUCUGUAGCUGGUCUGAGAGGACGACCAGCCACAAUGGAACUGAGACACGGUCCAGACUCCUACGGGAGGCAGCAGUGGGGAAUUUUGGACAAUGGGCGAAAGCCUGAGCCAGCCAUUCCGCGUGCAGGAUGAAGGCCCUCGGGUUGUAAACUGCUUUUGUACAGAACGAAAAGGUUUCUACUAAUACUAGGAGCUCAUGACGGUACUGUAAGAAUAAGCACCGGCUAACUACGUGCCAGCCGCCGCCGUAA